rnacentral:rRNA from 1 species
AUGGCAUACACAAAGUUGAGCGAAUUAACUACAAGGGGACAAAACUGGAACAUUCAAGUGAAAGUAAUGAGGAUUUGGGAUUCAGUUAAUCCUACUACCGAUGAGCUUAUUAGCCUAGAUAUGAUACUCAUGGAUGAGCAGGGUGAAACAAUUCAUGCUUCUAUCUGGAAGAAUCUAAUAGAUACUUUUAGAUCAAAGAUCAAUGAGAAGUCUAUUUACGGAUUCAGCAAUUUUAAGGUUGUGGAAUCCACAAAAUAUAGGCCAGUGAGCAAUGAAAUUAAAAUAUUUUUUGCAUACAAUACAAAGGUAAAGGAGAUAAAAGGAUCUUCAGAAGUUUUUUUGGACUAUUGCUUCGAGUUUGCUACCAUGGAGACACUCGAAGAAAGGGCAGGAAAAGAUACACAAUGCUCAGAUGUCAUUGGACUUCUAACAAAAAUGAAGCCCGUGGAGACAAGAAUAACAAAAAAGAGCCCACAACCUUCAUAUAUCCGCGAGAUUGAAAUACUAAUGCCAGAGGGUGAUAAAAUCAUAAUCACGUUAUGGGGAAAGUUUGCUUACUUUUUGACCGAGGAUGUAAUUGGCAGCCAAACUGUCAUUAUUAUUACAUCAACGAUGGUGCAGAGAUUCAAUGGUUUGUGCCUAAAGUCAACCAGUGCGACAAGAAUAUAUAUAGAUCUGGACAUACCAGAAGCACAAGAACUUCUUGAAAGGGACUCAACACAAGUAACCUUACCAAAAAUGAUGAGUAUAGAUAGAAGUAAUCAGGGAACACUAGAAGAACAAAUGUUUUACAGGCGGAGAACAUUGCAAGAACUUACUAAAAUGAGGCACGAAAACCAGCAAGACCAGAGAACAUUUGUGCCUGAUGAUAGGCUUGAGAUGCUCUACUUGAAUGACAAAGCCGAGGAGGAAUUGAUGGAUGAUGAUGUAGACACUAUGUUAAUGAAGAAGCAGAACAUGCCAGAUAAAAAGUCACAGAAUAAUAAAGUUUCACCUUCCUGCAAACUGGUGCCUGUGAAAGAGGAGCCAUAUGACAGCAAUGAAUCCACAUUAAAUAAAGACAAGCAGCAAGACAAAAGAUCAUCAUCGUCAUCACGUCAGCUCCGUAGUGGCAAUAAAAGGAGACUGAGAUCUGUUGUAAUAUUGUCGGAUGACUCAGAGGAUGAAUGCACUGAGACGAAUUUGCCAGAACAAAAGAAAAAAGGUGUCCCCGAGAACAAGAAACAAGUUAAAGACAAAGCCAAAAAUACAGUGCCGGAAGAUGAAGAUGAAGUACGGAAAGCAAGGCCGAGAAGAACAAGGAAGUUGUCUAGAUAA